rnacentral:sRNA from 1 species
GGAUGUGAGGGUGAUCUGGCUGAGACAUCUGUUACCCCNUUGAUCACCAGAGUUGAUUUGACUGAUCUGGCUGACUUGGUGGGGUUCUGCUUUCCCUCUGUCCUUCUGUGUGUCUGUUCCAAAGCUCCAUGCACAGUGGAAGAGGACAACCAUCCCAGACAGAAAGAGUGUACCAUUCUUUGCUCCAAGGUAUACGAUAACUACUACUUCUAUCAUAUCUCCUUUCAUUCAUCUCUUUUGUAGACUAAAAAG